rnacentral:rRNA from 1 species
UACGUAGGGUGCAAGCGUUGUCCGGAAUUAUUGGGCGUAAAGAGCUCGUAGGCGGUCUGUCGCGUCGGCUGUGAAAACCCGGAGCUCAACUCCGGGCCUGCAGUCGAUACGGGCAAACUGGAGUACUGCAGGGGAGACUGGAAUUCCUGGUGUAGCGGUGAAAUGCGCAGAUAUCAGGAAGAACACCCGUGGCUAAGGCGGCUCUCUAGUACGGUACUGACGCUGAGACGCGAAAGCGUGGGGAGCGAACAGG